rnacentral:piRNA from 1 species
UGAAAAUUCUGCUCUCGAACAGAGUCC